CAAGUCGAGCGAUUAAACCUCUUCGGAGGAUAUAAAGCGGCGGACGGGUGAGUAAGGCAUAGGUAAUCUGCUCUUUAGUGGGGGACAACAGGCCGAAAGGCUUGCUAAUACCGCAUAAGUUGCCUGAGUGAAUAUCAGUCAAUAAAGGCUUCGGCCGCUUUAGAAUGAGCCUAUGUAGGAUUAGUUAGUUGGUGGGGUAAAAGCCCACCAAGACUUCGAUCCUUAACUGGUCUGAGAGGAUGAUCAGUCACACUGGAACUGAGACACGGUCCAGACUCCUACGGGAGGCAGCAGUGAGGAAUUUUGCGCAAUGGGCGAAAGCCUGACGCAGCGACGCCGCGUGGAGGAUGAAGUAUUUCGGUAUGUAAACUCCUGUCAGAGGGGAUGAUAAUGACAGUACCCUCAGAGGAAGCACCGGCUAACUCCGUGCCAGCAGCCGCGGUAAGACGGAGGGUGCAAGCGUUGUUCGGAAUUACUGGGCGUAAAGCGUACGUAGGUGGCGGGUUAAGUCGAAUGUUAAAGCCUGGGGCUCAACCCCAGAGAUGCACUCGAUACUGGCUUGCUAGAGGGUGAUAGAGGAAAGCGGAAUUCCCAGUGUAGCGGUGAAAUGCGUAGAUAUUGGGAGGAACAUCAGUAGCGAAGGCGGCUUUCUGGGUCACACCUGACACUGAGGUACGAAAGCGUGGGGAGCAAACGGGAUUAGAUACCCCGGUAGUCCACGCCGUAAACGAUGGAUGCUAGGUGUAGCGGGUAUCGACCCCUGCUGUGCCGUAGCUAACGCGUUAAGCAUCCCGCCUGGGGAGUACGCACGCAAGUGUGAAACUCAAAGGAAUUGACGGGGGCCCGCACAAGCGGUGGAGGAUGUGGUUUAUUCCACGCAACGCGAAAACCUUAC
rnacentral:rRNA from 1 species